rnacentral:rRNA from 1 species
UACGUAGGGUGCAAGCGUUGUCCGGAAUUAUUGGGCGUAAAGAGCUUGUAGGCGGUUUGUCGCGUCUGCUGUGAAAUUUCGGGGCUCAACCCCGAACUUGCAGUGGGUACGGGCAGACUAGAGUGUGGUAGGGGAGACUGGAAUUCCUGGUGUAGCGGUGAAAUGCGCAGAUAUCAGGAGGAACACCGGUGGCGAAGGCGGUUCUCUGGACAGUUCCUGACACUGAGACACGAAGGCCAGGGGAGCAAACGGG